rnacentral:rRNA from 1 species
UACGUAGGGUGCAAGCGUUAAUCGGAAUUACUGGGCGUAAAGCGUGCGCAGGCGGUCCGCUAAGACAGAUGUGAAAUCCCCGGGCUUAACCUGGGAACUGCAUUUGUGACUGGCGGGCUAGAGUAUGGCAGAGGGGGGUAGAAUUCCACGUGUAGCAGUGAAAUGCGUAGAGAUGUGGAGGAAUACCGAUGGCGAAGGCAGCCCCCUGGGCCAAUACUGACGCUCAUGCACGAAAGCGUGGGGAGCAAAC